rnacentral:lncRNA from 1 species
ACUUUGGAUUAGGGGGAGAUGUGAUUGGGCCUAUGCUUCUAGCUGGGCUUAGGAAAGUCCCCGGGCCCGUACUGCAGAAAUGCAGGCCCUGUAAGGGGCUCACUACGAGAUGGAACUUGCGGCUGAGACAUGUGUGGAGCCUAUGCUUGUUCUGCCGUAGUAAUUGGCCAAUUUCACAGUCAUCCACAUGGUCAUCAUGACUAACAGAACGGGGCUUACUCCCUCCUAAUCAUCUUUUUUUAAUUUUUAUUUAAAUUAAUUUCUUUUAUCUUUUAUAACAUUUUAACUAAUAUUAUUGUGAUAGGUUGAUUAUAAUAAUAUUAUAUAUAUGGCAUGUAUUAUUAUUAUUAUUAUACAAUAUUGUAAUUAGUGAUAUACAAAUUAAACAUAUUUUUUAUAUAUGUAAUCGUAAUUUUUAUGUUAUUUUUUCUAUAUAUAUAAAUCUAUAAUGGUUAUAAAAAUGGUUUUGAUAAUUUAAUUAGAAAUUUUUGGAUAAUUUAAUUAGAAAAGUGAGUUAGUUGAAAUUUUAUAAAAUAUAUUAUCUAAAGGCUAUCAAAAUUAAUUAAGAUAAAAAUGGAUAUGUUUCUAAUUUAUAUUAUAUUAAAAUACAAAUCUUAAUUAUUAGAAAAAAAAAGACAGAAAAUCUCAAAAUAAGGUUUGAGUUGACAAUAUUACAUUAUUUUCUCUGUAAAGAGAAAAACCUAGAAGCUAAGUUAUUAGGAAGACUAAAAAAAUUUAAAACUAUGUGCUGAGAUAAGAGAACCUAACCUAUGUUUUGAUUUGAUUUUUAUGAUGUAAGAGGAAUUACCUCUCUUUUCUUUGUUUUGUCAUGUUUUGAGGAGAAUGAAUUGAUGUUAUUUAUUUAUUUAUUAAUUGUUUUGGAAAAGAGUGGAGCAAAUUGAAUGGAGGAUGUGGUAGGUGCGUGAACGUGAAAAUUUGAAUAUGAGAAUUGGGAAUUGGGAAAUAGAAUUGAAAAUUUCCUCCCUAUAACCUAAUUAAUAUGAAAUUGGGAAACAGAAUUGAAAUUUUGAAUUUUAUGAAUGAGAGAUAUGUUACUUGAAUUGAAAUAGAAAAAAUCGGUGUGAAACAUUAUUACGGUGAAAGUGGUGAUAAAACAUUUAAUAUUAUCAUUUGGUAAACAUUGUCUUUGGAGGUUGUGAAUGAGAAUGAGUUUUGAAAAACAUUGUGCAUAUUAAUGUUAAAAUAUUAUCAAAAAAAGAUGUUGUCAAAUUAUCAUCAUCUUUAUUAUUAUUUAUUAUGUGCAUAUGCACAAGUCAAGAGACUUGUUUUGAAUACACAUUAAACCAUUCCUACUAAAAUCUCAGUUUUGAAUACACAUUAAACCAUUAUUUUUAUCUUUUUAACUACAUAGAGUUAUGGAGCAGUUACUAAUUUUGUUUCAACAUAAAGCCCAUUUAUUUUGAACCCUGUGAUGACCAGACUUUAUAUAAGGGAAUGAGUUAUUUUCAGUUUUGAUCACUAAACUUACUUCUCUAUUCAGAAAACACACCAUUUAAUUUGAGUAAGUCAAGGUUCAGAAAACAAAGUUAUCUUUGUUUGGAUUACAAAAGUUGCAAUGACAGGAGGUACGCACAUUAUUAUUUUAUUUUUUUGCUUCCGCUGUUUUUUAUCUGGAUGUGUUAUUAUGAUGUUAAUAUAACAUGUUUAGGUCAAUUUUAUACUCUGUGAAUUUUUAUAAUAUCUCUAUUGCGUUUUGUCAUUAUUUAGUUCUAUAAAUGUGGUGUAUCUCUUAUUCUCUUUUUUAUUAUUUUUCAUCACAAUGUAAUAAUACAGAUUGUGUUUCUCUUCUCCUUUUCUUCAAUACCUUACAUACAUGUUUGUAAAUUAAUUAGCAUUGCUUUCACUAGUGCAGAAUUGGUUUUUAACGUCACCCCUUAGACGUCGGACCACAAAAUAUCCAACGUAAAUUAUUAACCGGUGGCAUUUUCGUAAAUAAGUUGGCCAUAUAGACGUCCAUUAGGUAGGUCCCCGACAUCUAUAAUUUUAUAGACGUAGGGCCCCCCUAACUGUCGUCUACGGGCCUGAUAAGUAAGUGAAAAGUCAUUUUUUUUCCGCCAUAUAGACGUCUGUUCCCGCCACCCCAACGUCUAUAUACGAUUAUAGACGUCGGUCCCCUUGUAACUGACGUCUAUAUGCCUGACAGGGUAGGUGAAAAGUUGACGUAGACGUUGAUGCCCCUAGUAACCAACUUCUAAAGUCAUUUAGACGUCUAUUGUGGGAGGACCGACGUCUAUAAACAUCUGUUAUGGUGGGAAUCGACUUCUAAAUACUCAACCCAGAAAUUUAAAAAGUCACUUUUUGAUUCCAUUUAGACGUUUGAUCCCACUACUCCGAUUUCUAAAGACAUUUAGACGUUUGUUGUGGGGGGAAACCAAUGUCUAUAAACGUCUGUUAUGGGGGAACCAACUUCUAAAUGUCUGUAUUAAAACACUACGAACGCGAGGCAGCAGUUACGCGUACUCACUGUUCAUCAUCUUCCUCACAUUUUCUCUUCACGGGCUACGUUUUCCAGGUUCGUUUUCUCACUUUUACACCGUUUAAAAUUAAUUUUACUCCGAUUACAUUACUCUUUGAUGAAUUAUCUUUCAUUUGAACCGAUUAAAAUACAUUUUCAUUGUGUUUUGGUGCAGUUUUGCUUGUGUCCUUGAGCGGCAAUUUCUUGUAUUUUGAACUCUUCGAAUUCCCUCUACUACAUUUUUAAAACCAUCCAAUACAAAAAAAAAACAUACAAUUAAUUUUCUUCAACUAAAAUAUAAAGUUGUAAACUCGAAUCCCCAUGAGCCAACAGUAACCCAAGAGGCCUCAAGUAGAGAAAGAUUCAAUUAAAUACGGCUACGUUUUAGACAUUUGACUUAUAUAGUCUGACUUCUAUAUAGACGUCUGACCUAUAUAAUUCGACGUCUAUAUAGAUCUCUGACCUAUAGAGUCCAACGUCCCAUUAAUGUCAACCACAAAGACGUCGGUUCGAGAUUUGACGUUAAAAACAAAAAAUAAUAAAUGUCUAAAACUUUUUUGCAGUAUUAUUUUUUGUUUUUAAGUACGUUCACGAGCCACUUAAUCUACUUUUACUCCUAAUUUCAGGAGAAUAUAAUACCGGUACAAAAACAAAGAAAAAAAUGCACAAAAAAAACCUUUUAGAAAUAUAAAAAAUUAAUAAUGUUUCAAAAAUCAAGCUAGCAAGAUAUUUAUGAAAUUCUUUUAUUAAAAAUAAUAAAAUAUUAAAUAUACACUAAUUUUGUCCCUACCUUCUUCACUUUAUAAAAAUAAGCUAAAGCAUCAUCUCCAAC